GCUAUAUUUCUACAUUACCUGUUUACAAAAAAAAAWAAAUAAUUAUACUAUUUUCUUCUUGCAGGUGGGAAAUUCGGUGAAUCAUUGCAUAACGUGAACCUUUUCUCGAGCUUAAUUGAGUGAAAGGUUUCCGAAACUUGAAUGUCAAAGUUCAAAGUUUUGAUUAUCUUGAAGAUAGUACAUAUAAUAUGAUCUGCAGUUCGUUGUUACAAGCAAUAUUUAAUUAAUCAUUCUGACCAUACUUCGGUAGAGUUUGGAGUGACUAAAUGGGACUCUUUUAAACAACGGUUUAAAGUUUAUUCGUUUGAAGGCAGCAACUUGCUGGUUUACCCCAGAAAAACGGGUUGCCUUUGUUGAGUGCAAUUGUAGAAGAGUACACGAUGUAACAAUCGUGUGCUUCACCCGAUACCGAUUAUUAUAGC
rnacentral:RNase_P_RNA from 1 species